UAGCUCAGUUGGAUAGAGCGCGUGCCUCCGGAGCACGAGGUCGCAGGUUCGAAUCCUG
rnacentral:tRNA from 1 species